rnacentral:tRNA from 1 species
GGGGUUAGGUCUAGCUCGGUGGUAGAGCACGUGCUUAGCACGCAUGAGGUCCUGGGUUCAAUCCCAGUGCCUCCA